UUUUUUUGUUUUCUUAUCAAGGUACUGUGUCAUUUAAGCCUGGAACGAUCCAAAUGGGAUUUGAGUCUACAAACUGAAUCAUGGCAAGGAGUGUCAAGUCUGAGUGUACAGCUCUGCCAGGGGACUGUGGCCUCUACUUCAGCCCUCUUCACAGGACCCUGGCUUCAGCCUUUCCCACUCUGCAUCUCCAGCUGAUGCCUUCACAUCUGCUUUCACCUUGCUCAAAUUUGCAGAAUGAAUUCUCUGAUGUGAAAGAAGGUGAGAGCUCCCAGCAAAGGCUUUCCCACACUGAUUACAUUCAAAAGGUUUCUCUCCAGUAUGAGUUCUCUGAUGCUCAAUAAGGCUACCCACAGAAAAAAAGACUCUUUCACCACUCCAUAGUCAAUGCCACCGACACCCCAGAAAAGCACUGUCGUCCUUGAAACAGUGUGGUUGGCCAGGCUGGGUGGCAACUGGGCUUCACUAACCAGCAACUUCUGAAGUUCAUUCUCCUCGGUGGAGGACAUUUCCGACUUGGAGAAAGUCCUUAUCUAAGCUCAACACCCUCCACGAGCAAUGCUGUUCUCUUUCCCAAGACUCUGUUGUGUUCCCUUUUGAUGUUGCCUUGGAAUCCCUAAUGAUCAGAACUUUUUCAAAUGAAACAAUGAAGGGGAGUGAAAAGAGAGAGAGCACACAUGUGCAUGCAGCGUACAUACCCGUGAACGGGGGAGGUACAAAGAGAGGGAGAGCCUAAGCAGGCUCCGUGCCCAGUGUGGACUGUGGGACCAUGACCUGAGCUGAAAUAAACAGCUGGACACUCAACCGACUGAGCCACCCAGGCGCCCCAUACAGCUUCACCCAUUGUAACAAAAGUACCACAGCAUAUAAAAUAUUAAUAACAGAGGAAACUGUGUGUGUGUGGUGGGGGAGGGAAGGGUGAAAUAUGGGAACUCUGUACUUUCUGCCCAACUUUCUGUAAACAUAAAACUGCUCUAAUAAAUAAAAUCUAUUAAUUAAAACAGAACAGCAACAAAAAUCAGAAGCAGCCUAAUUAGUUAGGAUGAUGCACAUGUUCUAAAUUGAUCGUAGAAAUGGAUACACAUUCUGUGAAUAUACUAAAAUCCUCUGCAUACUUUAAA